AUUGAACGCUGGCGGCAUGCCUUACACAUGCAAGUCGAACGGUAACAGGUCUUCGGAUGCUGACGAGUGGCGAACGGGUGAGUAAUACACCGGAACGUGCCGAGUAGUGGGGGAUACCUACUCGAAAUAGUGGCUAAUACGGCAUGAGAUCUACGGAUGAAAGCAGGGAAUCGCAAGAACUGGUGCUACCAGAGGGGGCGAUUGCAGAUUAGGUCGUUGGUGGGAUAAAAGCUUACCAAGCCGCCGAUCUGUAGCUGGUCUGAGAGGACGAACAGCCAAACUGGGACGGAGAAACGGCCCAGACUGCUACGGGAGGCAGCAGUGGGGAAUUUUGGACAAUGGGCGCAAGCCUGAUCCAGCAAUGCCGCGUGCAGGAUGAAGGCCUUCGGAUUGUAAACUGCUUUUGUACGGAACGAAAAGCCCCGGGUUAAUACCCUGGGGUCAUGACGGUACCGUAAGAAUAAGCACCGGCUAACUACGUGCCAGCCGCCGCAGUAA
rnacentral:rRNA from 1 species